rnacentral:lncRNA from 1 species
GGUCCCUACGGUACACUACUAUUUUUGUUCCUUUGCAUGGGCUAAUGGAAAGUGGAAAGUGGGAAGAAAUGAAAAAGAGAAAAAGUAAUUAAAAGAACAGUGCAGUAGUUUAGAUGGAGGAAGAUGUUAAAUGGAGGAAGAUGUUAAAGUAUAAAGAGAAAAAGAGACCAAGAGAAGGGAACGAGUGGGAGAAUGACCUUGCUUAACAAAACUAUACAAAAAUGCAAAAGAAAACAAUAAUAUAUAGUAAUAAAAUUUGACAUGUUACGUAAUAAAUUAUAUUGUUAAAAUGAAGUUGAUAUGAAGUGUUCGUUAUGAACACAUCAAUUAGGCUAUAUUUUAUUAUAUUUUUUUUAUCUUUUUAUUAUUAAAAUAAAAAUAAGUAAAAAUCAAUAAUCAUACAUAACAAUAACAAUAAAAACAAGUAUUCUUUGGAAAAAAGAAAGAAAAAAAAAACUCUUUUUUCAUUCAUUUAGUGUCCCUUUCUCUUCU